GGGCAUCCUCUAGAUGUACUUCCAGAGCCAGACAAUCCGGACUCUGUUCAGAGAAUUGCAGCAGAAGGAAGGGGGAGCAGUGGUUUUAGUCUAUUACCCUCCAGCAUCUACACAAAGAAGAUAACAAAGCUUGGGAAAGAGGAGGGGGAAAAGGAUGGAUCGGAAGAGAGUGUUAGUGGUGGGAGGGACAGGUUACCUUGGCCAACAUGUUUUAAAGGCAUUCUCAGAGAUCGAAGGAAAGCCUUACGAUCUCGCAUUCACCCACCGCUCUACUCCCCCUCAGUCCUUGCUUGAUGCCAUUUCUCCAUUUCUCGCUUUCCCUGUCGAUCUACAGACUGGCCAUGGGCUUGAUUCCAUAUCCUCUACCUUCGGUCAGCCUCAUGUGGUGAUCAAUUGUGCUGCGCUCUCGGUACCUCGUAUAUGUGAGAUGGACCCUGCUGCUGCUAUGGCCACCAAUGUACCUUCUUCUCUUGUAAAAUGGCUUUCUAGUUUUGGCGAGAGUGGUAGUCUUCUGAUCCAUUUAUCAACUGAUCAAGUUUAUGAAGGACUUAAAUCCUUCUACAAGGAAGAUGAUGAAGCUGUUCCUGUAAAUGUCUAUGGGAAAUCAAAACUGGCAGCUGAGCAGUUUCUUUCUGCCAAUUGCUCGAACUUUGUGAUUCUGAGAAGUAGUAUCAUCUAUGGGCCUCAGACAAUUUCUCCUGUUACAAAAUCUCUUCCAAUUCAGGCUGAAGGAAUUGGUGUUUGAUCCAAUUGACUCCUUGCGGCGUGAAGUCUAGGAGGUCUACUUCAAGUAUUAUUCUCUUAAGUUUUUAUAUCUCUUUCAAGACUUAUUAGGGCUGCAAAACCAGGUAUGUAAUCUAUCACUCUGCUGCCCAGAAAAUUCUGCAAAACAGAGCAUCCGCCUCUGCUGGAAUGACCAGAUCUGAGUAUCCGAUUAGUCCAGUUUUUUGAUCGAAGGUUCCUCCCCAUACCAGUGAGGAUCGACCCAAAUAUUGGCUGAUUCUGCUCAGCCAUUGAUGAGAAAUUAUCUCUAGAUUUUUGUCUUUUAGUGAACUGAAGUUUCUAUUUUCUGCAUUCUGGUUCUGCUGGUUUGAAUAGUGUUUUCUGGACUGCUGUUCUUAAUAUUCUGUUAACUUAAAUCUGAACGGACUCCCAUCUGUUCCUGGUUUAGUUCUAAGAAUCAUUGUUGGAAUGGACUCUGUUGUUAUUCUCUUGAGAUCGAUAACCUGCUAUACUGCUGAAUAUCUGUUCUGAUUUCUAAAGAUUGUUAGCACUUUUAUAGUCUCUGGAUUAGUUCUAAACUGCUACUGGUUUGUUUAAUCCCUGUGUUGCUGUUCUGUGGGUUCGGUACUGUUUCUGGGUUGUCGCUGAAGUUAAUUUCUGAUACAUGGUUGGGGUUGGUUUUGGUUGUUCUUUGUUUUAAAAGUUUCUGCAAUUUUGGGUCUAAUUGGGUGUCCAAUUUAGUCCUACAUUAGUUCUUCUUGGAUCCUGGCCAAAUUGAUUUAUCUCAGGGAAGAAAAUAGUUGUCAGUGAUUGAAAGUUCUCUCAUUUUCUGUUUCUCUAUAGUUUGGCCCACUAACUUCUUCAUGCCUUGAGAUAUUUUAUCUGCUAUAUAUGGGAGAGAUGCUUUUGCCUACAGAGACUUUAUUUUUCAUAUAAAAAAAAAAAUGAGAUGAUUCUGUCUCUUUAUCUGGAAAAUAUAUCAAGAAUUUUUUGGAAUUCAUUGAGAUGAUUCAAUUUGGCCAUUGCAUUGUGAAGGACUAACUUACUCUAGGAACAUUUUCAAGAUUUAAUAUCUCAGUAUUUGGAUAGUGAGAAUGAAGGAUUUAUUUCUGAUGAAAUGACAAACUUUGUGUGUAAAUCAGGCAAAUUAUUCAGUUUCACAAAUGCUGGUACAAUUUUCUUAAAUAAGUGACUUGGUAGCGAACACUGAAGGAGUUUCUUAUGAUAAAAUGAAAAGUGUGGAGUGUGAAUCAAGAAAUUGAUCUUGUUUUCAGGGAGUUCUGUGGAUGGAUAGUGUCCUCUCUAAGGGAGACAAAGUAGAGUUCUUUCACGAUGAGUUCCGCUGUCCAGUUUAUGUCAAGGAUGUCGUGGCGAUCAUCCUAGCUCUGACUAAGAGGUGGAUAUCAGAUGGUAGACAAAUGCAG